rnacentral:tRNA from 1 species
GCCCUCGUAGUUUAACGGAUAGAACACCUCACUCCUAACGAGGUAAUCCAAGUUCAAUUCUUGGCGGGGGCA